GGUUAAGCGACUAAGCGUACACGGUGGAUGCCCUGGCAGUCAGAGGCGAUGAAGGACGUGCUAAUCUGCGAUAAGCGUCGGUAAGGUGAUAUGAACCGUUAUAACCGGCGAUUUCCGAAUGGGGAAACCCAGUGUGAUUCGUCACACUAUCAUUAACUGAAUCCAUAGGUUAAUGAGGCGAACCGGGGGAACUGAAACAUCUAAGUACCCCGAGGAAAAGAAAUCAACCGAGAUUCCCCCAGUAGCGGCGAGCGAACGGGGAGCAGCCCAGAGCCUGAAUCAGUGUGUGUGUUAGUGGAAGCGUCUGGAAAGGCGUGCGAUACAGGGUGACAGCCCCGUACACAAAAAUGCACAUACUGUGAGCUCGAUGAGUAGGGCGGGACACGUGGUAUCCUGUCUGAAUAUGGGGGGACCAUCCUCCAAGGCUAAAUACUCCUGACUGACCGAUAGUGAACCAGUACCGUGAGGGAAAGGCGAAAAGAACCCCGGCGAGGGGAGUGAAAAAGAACCUGAAACCGUGUACGUACAAGCAGUGGGAGCACAGAGCAAUCUGUGUGACUGCGUACCUUUUGUAUAAUGGGUCAGCGACUUAUAUUCUGUAGCAAGGUUAACCGAAUAGGGGAGCCGAAGGGAAACCGAGUCUUAACUGGGCGUUAAGUUGCAGGGUAUAGACCCGAAACCCGGUGAUCUAGCCAUGGGCAGGUUGAAGGUUGGGUAACACUAACUGGAGGACCGAACCGACUAAUGUUGAAAAAUUAGCGGAUGACUUGUGGCUGGGGGUGAAAGGCCAAUCAAACCGGGAGAUAGCUGGUUCUCCCCGAAAGCUAUUUAGGUAGCGCCUCGUGAAUUCAUCUCCGGGGGUAGAGCACUGUUUCGGCAAGGGGGUCAUCCCGACUUACCAACCCGAUGCAAACUGCGAAUACCGGAGAAUGUUAUCACGGGAGACACACGGCGGGUGCUAACGUCCGUCGUGAAGAGGGAAACAACCCAGACCGCCAGCUAAGGUCCCAAAGUCAUGGUUAAGUGGGAAACGAUGUGGGAAGGCCCAGACAGCCAGGAUGUUGGCUUAGAAGCAGCCAUCAUUUAAAGAAAGCGUAAUAGCUCACUGGUCGAGUCGGCCUGCGCGGAAGAUGUAACGGGGCUAAACCAUGCACCGAAGCUGCGGCAGCGACACUAUGUGUUGUUGGGUAGGGGAGCGUUCUGUAAGCCUGUGAAGGUGUACUGUGAGGUAUGCUGGAGGUAUCAGAAGUGCGAAUGCUGACAUAAGUAACGAUAAAGCGGGUGAAAAGCCCGCUCGCCGGAAGACCAAGGGUUCCUGUCCAACGUUAAUCGGGGCAGGGUGAGUCGACCCCUAAGGCGAGGCCGAAAGGCGUAGUCGAUGGGAAACAGGUUAAUAUUCCUGUACUUGGUGUUACUGCGAAGGGGGGACGGAGAAGGCUAUGUUGGCCGGGCGACGGUUGUCCCGGUUUAAGCGUGUAGGCUGGUUUUCCAGGCAAAUCCGGAAAACUAAGGCUGAGGCGUGAUGACGAGGCACUACGGUGCUGAAGCAACAAAUGCCCUGCUUCCAGGAAAAGCCUCUAAGCAUCAGGUAACAUCAAAUCGUACCCCAAACCGACACAGGUGGUCAGGUAGAGAAUACCAAGGCGCUUGAGAGAACUCGGGUGAAGGAACUAGGCAAAAUGGUGCCGUAACUUCGGGAGAAGGCACGCUGAUAUGUAGGUGAAGUCCCUCGCGGAUGGAGCUGAAAUCAGUCGAAGAUACCAGCUGGCUGCAACUGUUUAUUAAAAACACAGCACUGUGCAAACACGAAAGUGGACGUAUACGGUGUGACGCCUGCCCGGUGCCGGAAGGUUAAUUGAUGGGGUUAGCGCAAGCGAAGCUCUUGAUCGAAGCCCCGGUAAACGGCGGCCGUAACUAUAACGGUCCUAAGGUAGCGAAAUUCCUUGUCGGGUAAGUUCCGACCUGCACGAAUGGCGUAAUGAUGGCCAGGCUGUCUCCACCCGAGACUCAGUGAAAUUGAACUCGCUGUGAAGAUGCAGUGUACCCGCGGCAAGACGGAAAGACCCCGUGAACCUUUACUAUAGCUUGACACUGAACAUUGAGCCUUGAUGUGUAGGAUAGGUGGGAGGCUUUGAAGUGUGGACGCCAGUCUGCAUGGAGCCGACCUUGAAAUACCACCCUUUAAUGUUUGAUGUUCUAACGUUGACCCGUGAUCCGGGUUGCGGACAGUGUCUGGUGGGUAGUUUGACUGGGGCGGUCUCCUCCUAAAGAGUAACGGAGGAGCACGAAGGUUGGCUAAUCCUGGUCGGACAUCAGGAGGUUAGUGCAAUGGCAUAAGCCAGCUUGACUGCGAGCGUGACGGCGCGAGCAGGUGCGAAAGCAGGUCAUAGUGAUCCGGUGGUUCUGAAUGGAAGGGCCAUCGCUCAACGGAUAAAAGGUACUCCGGGGAUAACAGGCUGAUACCGCCCAAGAGUUCAUAUCGACGGCGGUGUUUGGCACCUCGAUGUCGGCUCAUCACAUCCUGGGGCUGAAGUAGGUCCCAAGGGUAUGGCUGUUCGCCAUUUAAAGUGGUACGCGAGCUGGGUUUAGAACGUCGUGAGACAGUUCGGUCCCUAUCUGCCGUGGGCGCUGGAGAACUGAGGGGGGCUGCUCCUAGUACGAGAGGACCGGAGUGGACGCAUCACUGGUGUUCGGGUUGUCAUGCCAAUGGCACUGCCCGGUAGCUAAAUGCGGAAGAGAUAAGUGCUGAAAGCAUCUAAGCACGAAACUUGCCCCGAGAUGAGUUCUCCCUGACUCCUUGAGAGUCCUGAAGGAACGUUGAAGACGACGACGUUGAUAGGCCGGGUGUGUAAGCGCAGCGAUGCGUUGAGCUAACCGGUACUAAUGAACCGUGAGGCUUAACCUU
rnacentral:rRNA from 1 species